UGGCUUAGUCGGUUGAGCACAUGACUCUUGAUCUUGGGGUUGUGGGUUUGAGCCCCAU
rnacentral:tRNA from 1 species